GAAGAUACUGUUGUCAGCCUCUCUCCUCACUACUCUUCCAGCUCUAGGACAUGAACACUAAAUGCUGUUAACCGUCUUAUUUUGCUGUCUGUUGGACAGGGAACAGACACUGUCACUCAACCACCAGUGAAGCAAGAAAAAUGAAAAUUAUGGCAUUCAAACCAGUUCUGAUGAGAACUAAGGUCAAGACAAAUAUGUAUUUUCUCAGACCUUUGAAAUACUACACAUGAGCUG
rnacentral:lncRNA from 1 species